rnacentral:lncRNA from 1 species
UUUUUUCUUAAAACAUUCACAUAAUUUUACACUUCUGUAUACACUGAAAUUUCAGUCCCAAAAUUACACCACAAAGUGCCCACAUUAAAACCAGAACCUUCAGUGUGAAUAAUUUUGCCCUAAAAAAAGUUAAGACAGGUUUCCAUAAUCAACAUAUUCACAUAAUUUCUGGUACUACUUGAUCCGACAGUAAAGCUUCACUGUUUGUAUGUAAAAAUCAAAUGGGACUUCCUUUGCAAAUCUGAUAAAACGUUUGGAACACAGGAGUGUGCAUUAUUGGAAAAAUCAAUACUAAAACCAUAAAUAUAUCCAAAGAGUCAUUAAUACGCUACACAAUUAAGCAGAGCUAUGCCCGUCACACUCUAUAUUCAAGCUUGUUGCCCUUUCAGUACAGGUGGUAUCUGAAUGUAGUACCUCUACAGAGGCAAUCUGUUCAACUUCUUACUCUUAUCCUCAUACGCCCGCUUCAUAAAAAUCAGAUAAUUUACAAUCUAGAAGUUUGUUUUAAAAAGUCUGGAGUUUAUAUACAGCUCAAACAAACCUAAAGUAUUCUGAUAUCUUUAAAGGUUUAAAUGAAAUGACUAGAGUUUUCACUUGAUGCUUAUUAACAGUAAUUAGCCAUUAACAGUAGUGGACCGUAAUGAGGUGAUAAGUAGAAAGUGAUGUUUCGUCUAAAAUGCUUAACACACAUUCAGUCCUUUCAUUUAUGUAAUGGUAUCACUCCCAAGAAGGGCUUUCCAUAGACACCCAUUUCCCCUUAGCAUCAAGGGCUACAAAAAUCCAACUGCAAAAAUGCAGUGACAAAGCAAGCUGACGUAUCAGGCACUACCUUUCAUAUUGGCAGCUGUAAGAGACCCACAGUAUGCACAAAGAUCUAAGGAAGGGGAAAAAAACACAACUAUGAGAAGCAGACCAAACAUUUUAGACAAGUUUGGCAAAGUUUUUAAUCAGACAAUAGGUUGGCCAUUUAGGUUUACUUGUAAAGGUUUUAAAAUAUCACUAUUGAAUUAACUAGUCAAAUGAUAGUAAGACAUUGUCAUGAUACUCAAACAUUACAUGCACCAAUAUUGCACACAUCUGCUCUGCCUUCUUAGCACAAUCUUCAUCCGGGUCCUUGAGCUGCCUGGUUUCUGCAGCUGGAACUCAAGCCUCCCACCCCAGCAGUUUCACUAAAAAUUUAAGUGGUAAAUUUAAAAUACAAAACCCAGGUAAACCCCGAAAAAACCCAACGAGGACUUUAGACAGACAAUAAAAUCUAAGUUUUCUGCAAUGGUCUUGAGGGCCCUACAGAUGGGGCAAUACACGUACGCACUAGUGAAACAAACACUAGCUCUGUUGUAUCUAACCAUUCAAAUAAUAUGAAAUCUGGGACCGGGUGUUGCGAUGAUGUCGCUGUAAGGCUCCUCCUGUGUCAGCUCUAUAGCUUGUUGCUUUUUGAGUACCAGGAAACUGUAGAAUUUCGCAGCUGCUUGUUUUCUAUUUGUAUUUCUGCACAACUCAAGCAAACUGAUGGAUUCUGCUCCAGUCUUAGCAAGAGCUCUCUGAAGCCCAUGAAGCAUUUGUUGAGUCCUCUUGUUCCAUCUCCGUUCUUCUUGAUCCUGAUCACCCCCUGUGCCAUCUUCUUCCUCCUCCUCUUCCUCCUCCUCUUUCUCUUUUUCCUUCUCCUUCUCUUUUUCUGGUAGAAGUUCCAGCUCUGGUAUUAGCUGACAGAUGUUCUGCGGCUCCUCUGGAGGCAUUUCUACUGGUGGUAUUUCCAGCUGUUGCGAUGGUGGAUGAGGUAACACUGGUUCUGGUUCCACUUGCUGCAGUUUGCGUUUAACACCAGUUUGUGGCGGUGGAGGUGGCAUAACAGAUUCAUCCAGGUUGGUCCUGCUGCCUUCCAUCAUUGACUCUUGUAAACGACUUGGUUCUUCCAGAAUUGGUUCAUCAAUGACAUCUCGCUGCUGUUGCUGCUGCUGCUGUUGCUGUUCCUCUCUGGGCACCUCUGGGUUUUCAAAAUCUUUAAGGAACUCAUCAAGGUUGUCAGCUUCUCCACCUUUCCUCCUCUUUCUUAGGUCUUCUGGAACCAGGGGUGUCAGACAACGAGUAAAGAGCUUAAGUAGCCUGUUAUUCCACAGAGGCUGUGCAGGCAGGGAGAAAAGCUUUUCAACUCCUCCAGUUUCUUUCCACAUCAUCAGUUUCUUCGUAGGGGGUGCCAAGUCCAACGUCGUAACAAUAUCAGAGUAAUCACUUAACUGGGCUCGAAUGGUCUUGCUAUCCAACUCUUUAACACUGUCCACAAUGAGCUUUCUCUUCCUCUUUGCUUUGGUUUCCUUGACAGUUAUGUCAAUAGGCUCCAGAGCGAAAGCUUCUUCUUCAUUAGGAACAAGAGUUGUCUGAUCAGUCAUGGUUGGUAAUGGUUCAACUGGAUCUACCGAGUCUGGGCUGUCUGGUCCACCCAUUGAUACAUUAUCAUCGUCAUCCAUAUCAUCAUGGGGAGGUUGCUCUGGCAUCAUUACUCCACCUUCUGAGAGCGCAGGUGGGUCAUCAAAAAUACCACCAUCAUUAUUACUGAGAAGUUUGUCAUCCAAUAUUCCACCAUCAUUUCCUUCUCCAAAAUUAUCAUCUUUGUAUUGGUCCUCAUAUUCCAGGUGAUUAGCUUUCUCAUUAAGGUGACUGGUGCUCUGUUCAGGUUCCAGUAGAAGAUUGGAAGCACUGGUGCUCACUAGCAUGUCAUCUUCAAAUGCACUACCUUCUCUCAUCAUCUCACGAUCAUCCAUCCCAAAGUCACCAAAGUCAUUAUCCUGGAGGAUACUGAUGUUGCCUACUUCUUCUCUCAUUGUAAUUUCUUCCACUCUACUCUGGUUCAAACUGAACUGCUGGGCCACAUCAAUAUCAUCUAGAUCAGGAAGUGGUUGGUCAAAAUCAUGAAACUCUUCAGGUAAGGUAAUAGCAUUGUAAGCAGCCUCUCUGUUUUCCUCAGGCAAAUCAACAACCCCUGGACGAAAAGCCAUCUUAAUCUUAAUGAAGGCCUCAUUACAGUCUGCAAGAAGGUAUUUUGCUUUCCUGUGGUAGAUUCUGACAACACCUAAUAAGAGAUGUCCUGAAGUUCGAAGUGCCAUCUUCACCUUUGGUGAAAUGAUACUCUCCACGCUGCUCUCCAGAUUACAUUCAAAAACAUGGGCUUUGGUUAGCUUCUUAUCCCAGUGGGCCGCUAGCCAUAUUUUGGCCAGCGGCCCACGCUUGCUCAGGACAAAGUGGGCAUAGAACAUGGUCCCAAACGUCUAAAUCGAAGAGCAAAUCCGUGUCCGGGGCAGGGAGAGGCUGGCGUGGCGGCUGGCCAGGCCGGGCUGGGUACCCGCUGCACUUCUCCGAAC